rnacentral:lncRNA from 1 species
UCCAUGUUGUUUGCGACAAUUCUCCAGUCCAUGGUGCCAAUCCUUGUGAACUGCCAAGUUUCAGUACCAGUGCAAAAGAAGAGUAACUAUUCAAAUCAACCUAGUGCAAGCUGCUACCUGGCACUUGCAGCUGCCAUUCAAAAAAAUGUGUGUGACAAGAUGGUUUUAUAAGAACUUAUGCAAUUUCCCUAUGAAAGCUCUAAUGCAAACACAUUAAUUACACAUAUCUCAUACAAUCAUGGUUGCCAUCUUGAAAACAAGAUCUCGCACAUGGACUGACAUAUUUUAAACACAGUAUUACAAUCUCCAUCACAACAGUUCAGAGAUGAAUGUAGGCAUAGAAAAGUAACUGAAAAUUUCUAAAACUCAUAUCUGACGAAACUCGAUAGUCAAAACUUUUCACCAACAGAAUAUAUACAUGGAUCAGUGUGCAACGCAUGUAAUAAUUAAACACAAGGCAAAAGGACUAUAUAACAGAAAACCUGGCGCAUUUCAUUCUGCUACUGCUACUGAAUAUCAAGGUGUUUUCAGAUAUCAAGGUAGGCCUCUGCUAUUUCUAGGGCGUUCACAUCCCCUAGCGCAUUUCUACUGCUACUGCUACUGUAUAUCUGAAAACUUUUCACCAACAGAAUAUAUACAUGUUCUCACUACUGCUACUGAAUAUCAAGGCAUUUUUCAUACUGCAUUUUUCCAGGCUUCAGCUUACAUUCUUUUUCCUAAUACAUUUUCAGAUUAGGCUCACCCAUUACCAUACAACUUUUAGAACGAAUAAAUCAUAUAUUACACAUAAACUGCUGAGAGAAAAAUAGAAUAAGGGAAAGAACCUUGAACCACCGACACACACAACUUCCAACAUAGAACCUCUGGUGAAGUUGCAACAUUUGCAUCUCUUCAAGCGGCAGUCCCCCAUGCUAAGUCUCUGCUUCUAAGCUAAUCAGUAAAACAACACCAACAAUCAAUUAUUCGGUUUAUUAAAUCUACAUGCUAUUUGAGCCAUUGUAAUCUUUACUCACAUGCAUUUGUUAGAAAAUUAGGGGCAUCCUGAAGCAAACAAACAAAUUAAGAGAAGACCAAAACAAAGGAGAAACACGGUUAACAACGGCCUGAAGUUCUAUUUUUGUCAUACCGUAAUACAUAAGAAUAUGUGACUAAAACAUUUCUAAACAGAGGACCGACAGACAUGGCAUAUUUAAUACCAUGGAGGCUUAAAUUGUGUGUGACCUAUGUGGUUGUGAAUUUCGUCAAAUUCCAAUGAAAGGGCUUCGGAGACUACCUUGUAAGUUCUUCUACAGCAUAAAUCUCUUUGCAUCAUUCGAUUCUUACUUUGCAAACAGCAGUAGCCAUUAUAUGAGGGCUAUAGUAUGUUUGAUUGACACAUCAUGUGCACCAAUGUGUAAACCUGAGUUCAACACCUGCCAUCACAUUCAGUUAUUCACUUUCUCUUCUUAGAAGCCCCAAACUGAUUAAAAACAGGAAAAAUGAUAAUACAUCAGGAAAUAUAAAAUGCAUAGCAACAACAAGCAGGAGCACAUUUAGGCUGCAGUACAGCCUAAAAAUUGCCGACCAAAUUUAAGCACGGUAAAAUAGUUAUAAGCAGAUCCAUGACAUAUAUAUUCUUAC